AAAAUCACUAUAAAAGCAGCAGCAGUGGUGGAAAUAUAUUAGCAUUAAUUAAACGCAGCACCGAAGCAGCCGUAAACAUAACAAAUGUCAGAUGAGUCGUGUUGAGGAGGCAGAUUGUCAAUGUCAAUACUUUAAACAGCUGCAGCAGAAACCAAAGCAAACAACAGCCACCAGGAAGAAACUUCAACACCAACGUCCCAACAUCCCAUUUCACUGGCUACGGUUCAACUAAGAACCGGAGGAGGAGGAAGAGGAGACGCUGCUGCAGGAGCUGAGCUCUGCUCCUCCCUCUGCCUGCAGGUCCAGAGCUGAAGCCGGAUCAGGACCAAACUGAGAGCGGUUCUGUAGAGUCUGCAUGAGUCCUGAUCUCUAAGUGAUUAAUAACUAAUCAAACGUUCCUCACAGUAACGUCUGAUGAACACGAUCCCUUAUGGAGGGAACCAGCAUGCUGAGUCCUCACGUGAUCUGGUCUCCACUAAAGGCUCAAACCUGCAGAGCUGCUGCUGUUCUCACACGUUCUCACCACAACGCUUCCUCUUCACCUCCGAGGAAACAACCACAAGAUGCAAAGAGGAGGAAACUCAUCCUCGGAGCUCCAACACGUCAUCUCUAUGAGCACGACGAGGAAGUGACGCUGUGCAACCAGAGGAAGCAGAAGCUGCAUCUGUGAGGAAGAAGCACUCGGUCAGACGCCUUGAGGAGCAGAGACACCAUGGUGGAACUCAGAGGGACUCAAAGGACUUUAUGUGUGAUGCUGCUGCUGCUUCAGGCUGCAGUAAGAGGACAAACCCCCCCUGACCCCCGCUUCCUCGUCAGAGCCGGAGAUGACGUCACUUUGCCUUCUAAUCAGGACAGAUGUGACGGUUCUACUUGGCUUUACAGUCGUAGUGGAUCAACUGUGGAGCUGGUUACACUUGGGAAGUUUAGAAAUAACGCUUUGAUUCCAGAAGCUAAAACCAACAGACUGAGUUUGACAGCAAACUGUUCUCUGGUUAUAAGAAACGUCUCAGGUGAAGAUGUUGGUCGUUACAUCAACAGACAUUAUGAUGAAACAGAAAAACAACAAGGUCCAGAUGGUGUGGUCUCUCUGUACGUGUUUACAAUGGAGGAAAAGGACUACGGGGGUUCGGUUGAGUUGUCCUGCUUUGUGUUGAGAUCCUCUGAGUGUGAACACACAGUAAAGUGGCUUUAUGACGGCAAACAGACUGAUGUGAUGACGACAUCACACGCUGCUUGUGAAGCUACUGUGACGUUUAAAGCUCCUCUUCAUCAGAAGUCAAAGUAUUAUAAGUCACUGAGAUGUGAAGUGAGAAACAAUCAGAGUGGAAAAACUCUGCUGUUUGAAGCCUGCAGUCAGUUCUCAUGUGAACAAACAGGCUGGUGGAGGUUCAUCAUUCUGGCUGCAGCGACGGUGGUUGUUCUUGUUGUGUUGUUCUUCACAUGGAAGAGAUCUAAAGGGAGAGAAACCCGGAUGGACGUCAACGAAAGUCUCAGGUGUUGCUGCUCACAGGUGCAGCGUGAAGAUGGAGACGAAGGUGCAGUGGUCUAUGAAAACGUUGGAGAACCUUCAGCUUCUGUCAGACUCUGAUCCACAGCUUCUAGAUCCACGCGCAGAGACGGGAGAUCAACCCUGUGACGUCAGUUCCAGUGUUUUAUUUGGCAUUUUAAGAUAAAGGGUUUAUAUUGACAUGUUUUCAUUAAUAGUUUCUCUGACAUUCAAACUUCUUCCUGCUAUGAAAGACACGGUGGAGUGACGUCAUCCACGUGCUCUCAUGAUGAAUUAUGCUCCUUUGAGGUUAAACUUUGUCUCUUUUUCUUCUUCUACAUGUCUGCUGUUUGUCUAACGUGUUUGAUUCACAUUGUUGGGUUUGAACGAGUUGUCAGCCUUAAUAAAGUCGCUUUUAUUGAUGAGAAAUAUGAAACAAAUAAAAUAAGAAUGUGCUUGAUAUGGACUCAUCCGUUGUGUUUUGUUUAAGGGAACCAGUGAAAGUCCAUAUUCUUUAUUUAGGUUCUACUCGAUGACCCAGAAGGUAACGCUGUCCUCACGUUGUUUCUGUCCAGCAGAGACUUUACCUCCAUCGCUCAUUUUAUGCUCCUGCUUCAUCCACAUCGACUCUGAUUCAAAUCCACUUAGAGAAUAAUUUGUUUACAUUUGUUACACCAUUAAAAAAGACUCAGUUGGAGAUUCUCAUUGGUCGAUUCUUCCGCCAAUUUUUCAAAUUAAACACACUAACUGUAUUUAGUAAAAGUCUUUAAUCAUCAUUAUUCAGAAGCCACAAAUUCCUUUAUGGAAGUAAAUCAGUUUUAAACAUUGUUGUUUUUGUGAGCUGGGACUUAAAACCAAAAAGUAACUUUAGCAUUAAUCCAAAAUUAGACUAGGGACACUUUUUAAAUGUGGCACCAGUUAACAGAACGAUGUCAGAGUGAUCACAUGACAUGUGAGCAUGCUUCAUGUUCAGGAAGGAGUCCUGUGAUAAAAC
ensembl:lncRNA